AACGAACGCUGGCGGCAUGCCUAACACAUGCAAGUCGAACGAGACCUUCGGGUCUAGUGGCGCGCGGGUGCGUAACGCGUGGGAACCUGCCCUUAGGUUCGGAAUAACUCCCCGAAAGGGGUGCUAAUACCGGAUAAUGUCUUCGGACCAAAGAUUUAUCGCCUUUGGAUGGGCCCGCGUUGGAUUAGCUAGUUGGUAGGGUAAAAGCCUACCAAGGCGACGAUCCAUAGCUGGUCUGAGAGGAUGAUCAGCCACACUGGGACUGAGACACGGCCCAGACUCCUACGGGAGGCAGCAGUGGGGAAUAUUGGACAAUGGGCGAAAGCCUGAUCCAGCAAUGCCGCGUGAGUGAUGAAGGCCUUAGGGUUGUAAAGCUCUUUUAACCGGGAUGAUAAUGACAGUACCGGGAGAAUAAGCGCCGGCUAACUCCGUG
rnacentral:rRNA from 1 species